AUGCAGAAUUGCAGAAAGCCAAGUCCAGCAAAAGCUCGUCAUCACAGAAGAAACACACAAAACAUUACAAAUUCAAGGUUUCAAAACACAAACACAUCAAUAAUUUCAAUGAAUACAUCUCACAACAACACAUAUCAACAAAAGAAUCAAAACAUAAGAAGAAUUGGAAGACAGAAGCACAUCGUCGUUGAAAAAACCACUUACCGCCGGAUCUCUGACGAACAUGAAAUGUUUCGACCACCGCAACGGAAGCCAUUGACUUUUUGGAUAGAUACAUUUUUCUUAUAUUAUAUUAUAGAUUAA